CAGUAGCCGCGGGAAUACGGAGGAUCCAAGCGUUAUCCGGAAUCAUUGGGUUUAAAGGGUCCGUAGGCGGUCUUGUAAGUCAGUGGUGAAAGCCCAUCGCUCAACGGUGGAACGGCCAUUGAUACUGCAGGACUUGAAUUAUUGUGAAGUAACUAGAAUAUGUAGUGUAGCGGUGAAAUGCUUAGAGAUUACAUGGAAUACCAAUUGCGAAGGCAGGUUACUACCAAUUGAUUGACGCUGAUGGACGAAAGCGUGGGUAGCGAACAGGAUUAGAUACCCCUGUAGUCCCUGUCUCUUAUAA
rnacentral:rRNA from 1 species